UGGGAUGUGAGUUACACUUCUACUGAGAUCUGUGCCGUCAGAGGAUCAACAGUGGACAUUACCUGUACCUACACAUACCCAUCCACAGUUAAUAACCAUGAUACUACAGUUCAGGAAACUUUCUGGUUCAUUCAGGAGAGUAAUGGGAUUCACAUUGAUCUAAGGACUGAUCCGGAGUAUUCAGGUCGUGUGGAGAAUCUCUGUGGAAACAACAAGUGCACUCUGAGAAUCUCUAACCUGAGAGAGAGCGACUCAGCUGUGUACAAGUUCAGGUUCACAACAAACCAACCUACUGGGAGUUUAACUGGUUCAGCUGGAGUCACUCUGUCUGUCACAGAUUUGCAUGUGCAGGUGAGCAGAUCAGUGAUAUAUGACUCUUAUAACUGGGCAGAGCUCAGGUGUCAGAGCAGUUGUCGUCUUCCUGAUCAUCUGAACUACGUCUGGUACAAGAAUCAACAGAAGAUGGAGGAAGGAGCAUCUUAUUCACGUUAUUUUCUUCGUACAGACAGAGUUUCCUGUGCUGUUAAAGGACUCGAGGAUUUCCGCUCUCUGACAAUGUUGGUAUGGAAUCAGAAUGGCUGGGGUGUGAGUUACACUUCUACUGAGAUCUGUGCCUUCAGAGGAUCAACAGUGGACAUUAACUGUACCUACACAUACCCAUCCAGCUGGAAUCAACUUGAUACUACAGUUCAGGAAACUGUCUGGUUCAUUAAAGAGAGUAAUGGGAUUCACGUUGAUCUAAGGACUGAUCCGGAGUAUUCAGGUCGUGUGGAGAAUCUCUGUGGAAACAACAAGUGCACUCUGAGAAUCUCUAACCUGAGAGAGAGCGACUCAGCUGUGUACAAGUUCAGGUUCACAACAAACCAACCUAAUGGGAGUUUAACUGGUUCAGCUGGAGUCACUCUGUCAGUCACAGGUAACAUUUACAUUAGAGUCAGUUUGAAAUGUUAGUGUGUAUGUUGAAAUAAAAUCACAUGUUUGUUCACAGACCCUCAGCUCCAGGUACAUGUGAGGAGAUCAACAGCCAAUCCAUCUUCUACCUGGACAGAGCUGACCUGUCACAGCAGGUGUCAGCUCCCUGAUCAUCUUUCCUACGUUUGGUACAAUAACAAUAAACCUGUUGGACGAAAAAAAUACUUUCACCUCCGACACUUUAAUCCUGAAGACAGCUAUCACUGUGCUAUAGAAGGACAGGAGCGUUUCCCUUCUCCUACAGUGUACUAUCCUUCAGACGCUCCAAAGCCUCCCUCUGUGUCAGUGAGUCCCUCUGGUGAGAUCAUGGAGGGCAGCUCAGUGACUCUGACCUGCAGCAGUGAUGCUAACCCAGCAGCUAAAUACACCUGGUACAAGAGAAGUGGAGAUAAACAAGUUCAACGUCUCAGUGAAGAGACACAAUUUGUCCUCAGCUCCAUCCGGUCGUCAGACUCUGGAGAGUAUUACUGCACAGCUGAGAAUGAGAACACAGCGUCUAAACGAGUCUUAAUUAAUGUGAAAUAUGCUCCACAGUCCUCCUCUGUGUCAGUGAGUCCCUCUGGUGAGAUCAUGGAGGGCAGCUCAGUGACUCUGACCUGCAGCAGUGAUGCUAACCCAGCAGCUAACUACACCUGGUACAAGGAGAACCGAACUCUGCUUCAAGGACCAGAGGGUGUUUAUCGUCUCUCCUCCAUCAGAUCUGGGGACAGCGGGGUCUACUCCUGCAAGUCUGAGAAUCAGUACGGACGGAUCAACUCCAGGUCUCUACACUUAGACGUCCAGUGUGAGUAGAAAACAUCCACAUGUCCAUGAAACCCAGCACUGUCUCACAAUCUUACAGAAGGUUCCUGGGUCCGCCCCCUUAUCUGGAUUCACACCAAACUUUACUGAGUUCUUCCCUGACCCGUUCCUCAUCCUACCUCCAAGUUUCAUGAUAAUCGACUCAGUAGUUUUUGUGUAAUCUUGAUUAAAAUCAACAAUCAACAAACAAACACACUGGUGUGAAAACAUCUGUUGUUGCAU